rnacentral:rRNA from 1 species
UUCGAUUAUGGCUCAGAUUGAACGCUGGCGGAUGCUUUACACAUGCAAGUCGAACGGCAGCACGGACUUCGGUCUGGUGGCGAGUGGCGAACGGGUGAGUAAUGCAUUCGGAACGUGCCUAGUAGUGGGGAUAACUACGCGAAAGCGUAGCUUAAUACCGUAUACGCCUUUUCGGGAAAGCGGGGACCUUCGCCCCUGGCACUAGAGCGCCGACACGGAUUAGCUAGUUGGUGGGGUAACGGCUCAUUAAGGCGACGAUCCGUAGCUGGUUUGAGAGGACGACCAGCCACACUGGACCGGAGACACGGCCCAGACCCUACGGAGGUGCAGCAGUGGGGAAUUUUGGACAUCGGGGAAACCCCGAUCCAGCCAUCCCGCGUGUGCGAUGAAGGCCUCGUUGUGGGAAGAACUUUUGGCAGGAAAGAAACGGCACGGGAUAAUACCCCGUGCAACUGACGGUACCUGCAGAAUAAGCACCGGCUAACCACGUGCCAGCAGCCGCGGUAAUACGUAGGGUGCAAGCGUUAAUCGGAAUUACUGGGCGGAAGCGUAUGGUUCGGAAAGAAAGAUGAAAUCCCAGAGCUUAACUUUGGGAACUGGCAUUUUUAACUACCGAGCAGAGUGUGUGGCCGAGCGGGGAGGUGGAAUUCCGCGUGUAGCAGUGAAAUGUAGAUAUGCGGAGGAACACCGAUGGCGAAGGCAGCCUCCUUGGGAUAACAACGACGUCAUACACGAAAGCGUGGGGAGCAAACAGGAUUAGAUACUCCUGUAGUCCACGCCCUAAACGAUGUCAACUAGCCGUUGGGGCCUUCGGGCCUUGGUAGCGCAGCUAACGCGUGAAGUUGACCGCCUGGGAGUACGGUCGCAAAGAGAUUAAAACUCAAAGGAAUUGACGGGGACCUGCACAAGCGGUGGAUGAUGUGGAUUAAUUCGAUGCAACGCGAAAACCUUACCUACCCUUGACAUGUCUGGAAUCCCGAAGAGAUUUGGAGCCAAGAGAACCGGAACACAGGUGCUGCAUGGCUGUCGUCAGCUCGUGUCGUGAGAUGUUGGGUUAAGUCCCGCAACGAGCGCAACCCUUGUCAUUAGUUACAAAGUUAGGCACUCCCAUCGAGACUGCCGGUGACAAACCGGAGGAAGGUGGGGAUGGACGUCGUCCAUGACUUUAUGGGUAGGGCUUCACACGUCAUACAAUGGUCGGGACAGAGGGUCGCCAACCCGCGAGGGGGAGCCAAUCCCAGAAACCCGAUCGUAGUCCGGAUCGCAGUCUGCAACCUGACUGCAGUCCCGGAAUCGCUAGUAACGCGUGGGACCAGCACGUCGCGGUGAAUACGUUCCCGGGUCUUGUACACACCGCCCACACCAUGGGGAGUGGGUUUUACCAGAAGUAGUUAGCCUAACCGUAAGGAGGGCGAUUACCACGGUAGGAUUCAUGACUGGGGUGGAAGUCAACAAGGUAA